rnacentral:rRNA from 1 species
AACGAACGCUGGCGGCAUGCCUAACACAUGCAAGUCGAACGAGACCUUCGGGUCUAGUGGCGCACGGGUGCGUAACGCGUGGGAACCUGCCCUUAGGUUCGGAAUAACUCCCCGAAAGGGGUGCUAAUACCGGAUAAUGUCUUCGGACCAAAGAUUUAUCGCCUUUGGAUGGGCCCGCGUUGGAUUAGCUAGUUGGUAGGGUAAAAGCCUACCAAGGCGACGAUCCAUAGCUGGUCUGAGAGGAUGAUCAGCCACACUGGGACUGAGACACGGCCCAGACUCCUCCGGGAGGGCGCAGUGGGGAAUAUUGGAAAGGGGGCGAAAGCCUGACCCAGAAAGGCCGGGGGAGUGAUGAAGGCCUUGGGGUUGAAAAGCUCUUUUACCCGGGAUGAUAAUGACAGUACCGGGGAAAUAAGCCCCGGCUAACUCCGU